AGAGAAGCAAGCCAUUUGCCAAACCUAUCUUAUCAAUAUCAACAACAUAACAUGACAAUGAUACUAAGGUCCUUUCUUUUAUUUCCUCUCAUAUGCUCUCAUGUGGUUCUUGUCUCCUCUCACGUGGUUCCACCACCUUCACAUCCCUUCUUAUUCCCUUUGACACCAUACCCCACACCUCUCCAUCAUUAUGAAGGAUGUUAUCCUCGACCAAACGGGGUUAGUCUUGGUCAGCCCAUCUUAAUCAUAUCCCGGUUAGCGGACUCUACGGGUUGGUCAGGUUUAACCUUGAAUGACCAACUUGUAGUUAGCCUACAUAAUAAGACGACCCGUUAUGCGGGAUUUCAGCCAAUGGAUA